UGUUUCUCUAGCAUAUCGAUCUAUUUCGGCUUAUUUGUGAUACCUGGUCAUGGUUGGGCCGUAUUUGAAAUCUAAUCUUUAAUAUAAGUGGUGAUGCCUUAAAUUCUUGUGUGCACAAUUAAGAAGUGCAUACAGGAGUACCGAAGAGUUUUCAUUAAGUCGAUUCUGACUUUACAAAGUGCAAAAUAAAUGCUUUUAUUGAAGAAUUUUGAGGAAGACUGAUAGCCUUCUUUUAUGGUUCGCGUUUGCUGCAUCUUUAAGUUCAAAGUUCGUUUAUUCUUUUAUAUAUAUACUUGGUGCUACUGUUAUCCUUUUCACAGUUCCUAUAUAUUUGUGGCAAUUUCGGUUCAAAGUCUAUAACAUUUGUUGUUUGCUUCAGAUGAACAUAGUAGUAAUUUUACUGUUUAAACUUCGGUUAUAAAGAUAGCAAACAGAACCGUGAACACCCUUAGCUCUAGCUCUAAAUCUAAGGAAUUACUAUUAAUGAAAGUGGAAUUGUCUGCUAUGAUGAUGGAAAAAGCUUUAUUGAAGGUAGAUAAAAAAUAAUUUUCUACCAAAUGGAAAAAGUCUUAUUGUUGUUGAAUCUUGUUGCCUAUAUAUGUGUUUCCAGUUUAGUUUUUGUAAUGCCUAGUUUGGAACCAGAAAGAGUUCAAACUCUCACUUGAUUUUGAAUACUUCUUGAUUUACAAGAGACUUUAGUGGAAGUUUAAAAGAAUUAACACCUACAGUCGAUGGAAUUUUUUUUAGUUGGGAACAUAUAAUAGAUGCCGUCAAGGUUUUUUUCUUUAUAUUUCUAACUUUGCCACGGGAAACAACGCCUUAAGUUUAAACACUUCCAUUAUGCUUGUCACAAUUAUUGUUUUAUUGCGUUUUAAAAUGGACUUUGAUUCUUGGUUAAUGCAUCUCGAAACUUUUCUAAUUAAUUUUUCUUAUACUCUUGCAGCCUUGAUGAUUUUGCUGGAUAACACCUAAUGAAUUUAUUAGAUUGCUUUUAGGGUUUUGAAGAUUGAAUUUGACAAGUCAAGAUGGAAGUUUAGAAGAUGCACAAGCUCAUUAUUUUGCUAGGAAUGUUAUGCACUCGCUAUCGUAGUCUAGCUCGAGUGUUAGCAAUGUUUUUUUGUUAAGGUGUCGAGCAAAUAUUGAAACUAACAUCAUGGGAUGUUAACAAUUUUACUGUAAUUAAUAACUUUAUCUUCCUCUUUAUAUAAAUAACGCUUUUGUAUCUA